UCUUAUGUAUUCUUCAGUAAUAUUAAGUUUUAAGUUUAGUUUCCAUGAAAUGUGUGAUGGCAAGAUGAGAAUUAGAAUAAUGAAUAGGAUUGUCAGAAUAUACACUCAGAGGCUAUAUACACACUUUAUUAGCUACAGCUGUUCAACUGCUCAUUAAUGCGCACAUUUAAUCAGCCACUUGGCAGCAACUCUGUUCAUUUAGGCAUCUCUGGUAAGUGGCAGUUCUGAGUAAAAAUAUUGACGCAAUGCAAGAAAUCAGAGGAGAAUUGCCAGAUUGUUUUGACCCAAUAGGAAUGCAAUUGUGACUAAAAUAACUUUGUAACAACCAAGCUGUGAAGAAGAGCAUCUGUGAAUGCCAGACACAUUGAACUUUAAAGGAGACUGGCUAUAGUGGUGGAAGACCACACUGUGUGCCACUCCGGGGAUCACUAAAUCUGAACAAUAGACGAAUGGAAAAACAUUGCCUGUUCCGAUGAAGCUGGAUUUCUGUUGUGACAUUUGAAUGACACUACUCAAAUGGGUCACCAGAUCUCAACCCAAUAGAGAACAUUUUGCAUGUGGUGGAGUGGGAGAUCUACAUCAUGCAUGUGCCCCUGACAAACCUGCAGCAACUGUGCGAUGCUAUCAUGACACUAUGGACCAAAAUCUGAGAAAUGUUUCCAGCACCUUGUUUAAUCUGAGCCACAAAAAAUUAAAAUGGUUCUGAAGGCCAAAGCGGAUCCAACCCAGUAAUAGCAAUGUGCCUAAUGACCACAAGAGGGCACUCUAACAGUUAAGAUCUGAACUCUGCAAUUUGCUCGGAUGUUAACAGCCUGGGUUCAGAUGGGGAGACUCCCUGUGCUCAUGCAGUCUGAGAUUAAUCCGGCUGUUGCUGUGCUAGUCGGCACCAUAUCACAGCUCGACAUUUCCAGUCCUCAUGAAUAAUGCAAACUCAAUGGUCCUGGUUCCUGCUAUCAUGGAGCCGAGGGCCCCAAUUUGUCACACUAUCCAAAAUAUGAUACACAUCCCAAACACGAGAGUCGAGAAGCUGCCUUCACAUCCGCACACUCACACAAAUGUACAGGCUGGUAAAUAAAGGUAUAAAUAUCUGUUUCCAUGCUCCAGUUCUGUGUCUAUUCUCAGCCUAUCAUAGAUAAAGAGAAACAGGAGGAUAGGGGAGAUGCAACUUUUUUUCUUUUUUUGCCAAAUUCCAAUACUGAGCCAUUUUUAAAUUGGUUUAAAUUAAACUGUCAAAAUGGCUACAAAGAUGCUUAAGUUGCCUGUGGUAUUUUGGUUAUUUAGCAUAUUUCUGAUGGGUCUCAAAGGGUCUG